rnacentral:rRNA from 1 species
GACGAACGCUGGCGGCGUGCCUAAUACAUGCAAGUUGAGCGAUGAAGAUUGGUGCUUGCCCCAAUUUGAAGAGCAGCGAACGGGUGAGUAACGCGUGGGGAAUCUGCCUUUGAGCGGGGGACAACAUUUGGAAACGAAUGCUAAUACCGCAUAACAACUUUAAACAUAAGUUUUAAGUUUGAAAGAUGCAAUUGCAUCACUCAAAGAUGAUCCCGCGUUGUAUUAGCUAGUUGGUGAGGUAAAGGCUCACCAAGGCGAUGAUACAUAGCCGACCUGAGAGGGUGAUCGGCCACAUUGGGACUGAGACACGGCCCAAACUCCUACGGGAGGCAGCAGUAGGGAAUCGUCGGCAAGGGACGAAAGUCUGACCGAGCAACGCCGCGUGAGUGAAGAAGGUUUUCGGAUCGUAAAACUCUGUUGGUAGAGAAGAACGUUGGUGAGAGUGGAAAGCUCAUCAAGUGACGGUAACUACCCAGAAAGGGACGGCUAACUACGUG